rnacentral:rRNA from 1 species
UACAUAGGGUGCAAGCGUUGUCCGGAAUUAUUGGGCGUAAAGAGCUCGUAGGCGGUUAUUUAAGUCUGGGGGUGAAAAGGUUCAGCGCUCAACGCGAACAGUGCCUUGGAUACUGGAUGACUUGAGUCUGGGGAGGGGGAAGGGGAAUUCCUGGGUGGUAGCGGUGAAAUGCGUAGAUAAUCAGGAGGAACACCGGUGGCGAAAGGGCGGACCUUUCCCGUUGG